CAUCCUUCUUCUCCCGCUCACCGUGUCCAUGAGGUGGUUUCAGGGCACCUUUUUUCAUUCUGCGAUGGCCCUAGUCAGGACAGUGCGAGGUGACCAAGAGACGUUGAUAUCAUGAAAUAUGUCAUGAGUCGUUUGAAAUGCGACCUGAUCUGGUGAGGCCCCCGUGACCAUGGGCUCAAGCGACCCGUGUACAAUCCUGUGACUUUAAGUCAACAGGCUUUCCAAAACAUGGUGGAGUUCAGUUGUAGGGUUUGAUCGGCGGUAUUCUCAUCAUGUGUCUUAAAGGAGGAUGCAGGAUGGACCUGUUGAAGACUGACUUGGAUGGUAUCGUGGUCUGCAGUGAGGCUGAAGCUCCUGGUCUGAAGUGAUGAGGUAUCUUCCUGCAACAAGAAGCCAUCAUGGGGCUUGGUUUGAGGAAUUCCCACGAUGUGUCUUGUAGGAGGAAGCAGGAUGGGCCUUUUGAAGGUGCGAAUAAUCUGUUUAAUCAACCCCACCACAACAGUGUGUUAUGAUGAUUUUUUGCAGACUAGAGUCUCUGAAUUACAUUGAUGCUCUUUCACAGUGCACUGAACACACUCAGUUUUAUAUGGUUUCUCUUGAAUUCUAUUGUGAAUCUAAUAUGUAUAUUUUCUG